rnacentral:rRNA from 1 species
AUUGAACGCUGGCGGCAGGCUUAACACAUGCAAGUCGAGCGGGGAUAGGAUGCUUGCACCUGAUUCCUAGCGGCGGACGGGUGAGUAAUGCUUAGGAAUCUGCCUAUUAGUGGGGGACAACGUUCCGAAAGGAACGCUAAUACCGCAUACGUCCUACGGGAGAAAGCAGGGGACCUUCGGGCCUUGCGCUAGUAGAUGAGCCUAAGUCGGAUUAGCUGGUUGGUGGGGUAAAGGCCUACCAAGGCGACGAUCUGUAGCGGGUCUGAGAGGAUGAUGCGCCACACUGGGACUGAGACACGGCCCAGACUCCUACGGGAGGCAGCAGUGGGGAAUAUCGGACAAUGGGCGGAAGCCUGAUCCAGCCAUGCCGCGUGUGUGAAGAAGGCCUUUUGGUUGUAAAGCACUUUAAGCGAGGAGGAGGAACUCUAGAUUAAUACUCUAGAUGUUUGGACGUUACUCGCAGAAUAAGCACCGGCUAACUCUGUGCCAGCAGCCGCAGUAA